GUUGAACGCUGGCGGCAUGCCUUACACAUGCAAGUCGAACGGUAACAGGUUAAGCUGAUGAGUGGCGAACGGGUGAGUAAUGUAUCGGAACGUGCCCAGUCGUGGGGGAUAACUGCUCGAAAGAGCAGCUAAUACCGCAUACGACCUGAGGGUGAAAGCGGGGGAUCGCAAGACCUCGCGCGAUUGGAGCGGCCGAUAUCAGAUUAGGUAGUUGGUGAGGUAAAGGCUCACCAAGCCGACGAUCUGUAGCUGGUCUGAGAGGACGACCAGCCACACUGGGACUGAGACACGGCCCAGACUCCUACGGGAGGCAGCAGUGGGGAAUUUUGGACAAUGGGCGCAAGCCUGAUCCAGCCAUGCCGCGUGCGGGAAGAAGGCCUUCGGGUUGUAAACCGCUUUUGUCAGGGAAGAAAAGGUUCUGGCUAAUACCUGGGACUCAUGACGGUACCUGAAGAAUAAGCACCGGCUAACUACGUGCCAGCAGCCGCAGUAA
rnacentral:rRNA from 1 species